GCUACACAGCUACAGACCUCGAACGUCUCUGGUUCUGUUUUACACGCCAAUUUAUCAGAUCUCUAUGAAGGUUUAUUUACAUAGGAUUGUAAUUUUAAGAAAACUCAUGCAUUUCCUACAACAAGUGGCGAUGAGGAUAUACCGUACAAUCCCCACUCUGGGCAACAAGGAGUUAAAGAACUACAGGCAGCUCCGCCCCCCACCACACCCACAAUGUACGCAUAGGCUGGGGGAGGAGCUUAAAAGGGGGAGCAGAGAGCUCACUUGGCAGAUGAGGGAAGGGAAGAGACCUUCAGCUUCCAACACCUGAGGAAAGGGCUGACUAGAGGUAGGAGCUUCUCAGGAGACCCCGGCCCCCUCCUUGAGGGAAGGGACAGCCAGAUGCUGAUGCACCCUAAGUGGGAAUCAUUCCCCUCUAUGGCCUGUGAACUGAGUUUAUUUGUGUUAAUUCUCCUUGCUUUUUGUUCAUGGACCACGCCACAAGGGGAGAGACUUUAAAGUGACCUGGCUGGAGGGCCAAGUCAUAGGAAGAGGGAGACCGCCCCAAGAGGCAGUGUGACCAUUGGCAGGAGGAGGGAAAAGAGUUGCUAUCCCAUGUCUGGAAACAAGGAGGCGAUAGCGGCACCAGAAGUGGACACAGCCUUCCAGCAGCAGUCGCACCUCUGCCAAAGAGAGAGGUGCCUGGCAUCGAACAAGCUGACAGAUCGGUAGCAGCAGAAGAAACUGGUGGCUUUACAAUGGGAUUCCAGCUGAAUAUGAAAAGUCAGAAGCUAAAGGGAGGACUAGGAGGCUGAUGUGUCCUGAAAAUACCCGCCAAGCUUUCAUCAAACUUCGUCCCCUCCCUUUUGUGGCAGGGACACUGACCAAAUUCCACAGCCCUCCCGUGGCAUUUCCGGUGUUCUGCCAUCAUCCCACCGUGCCCGUUGCCUGGUUAGUGCCCAGAGUGGGUUUCCCUUCUGGCAGCACCAAUUCCCCACAGUCGCAGGUGUGGGGGACAGGAGUAAGAAGACGUGAAGAACGGGAACUGUCAAAGAUCGCAGAAACUGCACUUUAAAUUCUCCAGCCAUUAAACUAUUUGGCAAGGACAUCCAUCCACAUUCCUGAGUACUGCAGCGUCUCUCGCUCAAAGCCCCAGGCUGGGAGAGGGCGAAGGAAACACCAUUAUUUCUUUGCUCUUUUAUUUUAACGAUGACGGCAUCAGGUUAUCUCAGCACCUUCUUCCUGCUAACCUCACCCAUCGUCUGUCAUUUACGAGCCUUCGGCUGUCAAAGCUCUGCCAUGUGUGACAUUCAUCCAGUCCUCACCCAAUUGGGUUCUGCGGCAGAA